rnacentral:rRNA from 1 species
CGAACGUUGGCGGCGUGGAUUGGGCAUGCAAGUCGAACGUGAAAGGGGAGCUUGCUCCCUUAGUAAAGUGGCGAACGGGUGAGUAACGCGUGGGAAACUUGCCUCAGAGCGGGGAAUAACACUCCUAACGGGGUGCUAAUACCGCAUGAUACCGCUGGUGGACAUCCACUGGCGGUCAAAGAUGGGGACCGCAAGGCCUGUCACUCUGAGAUGGUCCCGCGUCCGAUUAGCUUGUUGGCGGGGUAACGGCCCACCAAGGCUACGAUC